GGUUCCAUGUACUAUCAGCGAUUUUUUUUCUGUGAGAAGACUAGAACGGGCCACGUGCAAUCCCUGAAGCCAGAUGAGGAGCUAUUUGACUCAGGACCCGGUAGCUCAAAGUUUUGGGAAUCUGACAUCGUCCGGGGCAGCGGUGUCCUGAUUCAUGCCCGUCCAUAACAUAUAAAAAUGACGUCAUAUACCAGAUAAUGGCACGUCGGCCUAUUCUCAUUGCUUGGUGCCCUACGCCAAAUCGCAUAGUUAACUUUUCUUGUAUAAUAUCAAUGCAAAUUAAAAGCAGCUCCACUACCUUAUGCGCCGCAGAUGGUGCUGCUUUUUUAGACACAUGCUUAGUGAGCAACCAAAGUCUUUCUAGGUCGGUGGAUUUUGAAUGUCGAAGAGCAGGAUAUUUCAUUUUUCAUAGCAUUAACUCUGUCAGGAUUAGUGAGACUGUUUUGUUGGUGGGUUCAUUCUGGAAUCUCGUACGACAUUCUGAGAGCUAGAGGAAUGCCCUCUGAAAGGCCCAAGUCACGUUAUUUCAGAUAUCAAUAGGGGCAGAAAAUAUGAUAGCGCUAAUCUUAAUUGUAACGGCCUUGAAAAUGUCAUACUCUCCAAAGCCCACCAAUAAAUCCUUACAUUAUAACGGCAGUACUUGUAGUUGCUGUCCCACAUUAGGUUACGGUUACCAGUAGUCCGAUUAAAAUUAACGUCACGACACACGAAAACUCAUAAUAGGCGUCAGGUUCUGGUGUUGUCUCACCGAUGGCCUUGUCCUGUCAGACCAUUUAGUGGUGUGUGAUUUAUAUGUACUUCCUUUUCGCCUUUGUCACUUAUAAUCAUUGAUCGUUACCCACAGUUGCGUAAUAAAUCGUUCGUUUAUUAUGGAACUUUCGUCUGUCUACAAAGGUGUUGUCUCCUAAAUGAAUUAAAAUUGCUUCUCUUCGUAGAAAAGGCUGGUCCUAUAAUGAACUGCUACAAUUAAUGACUUGGUAGGCCCAUUUCAGUAGACGGUCGGUAAUACUCGAUUUCAUCUUCCGACGAUACAGAAACUUGACACGCUUCGGCCCAGAGGAAAAAAAAAAUGCAUUUUGUCCCACACUGGACUCGGUGCCAGGCUUAAAUCUAUUCAUGUCUACAUGGUACGGCACAGUCAUUCUUGUAAUAAUUGGUGAUGCGCUUGACGCUCGUUCACAGGAAACAGUAUGUCCGAUGAAGCGAUAAAUGAGUGGCUGUUGGUGAACUCAGCUCUUGCUCAUUGAAUGGAACUGUAAAUUGUGUUAUGAAGGAAAAAGAAUAGUGAAGUACUAAUCAUUUGUAUUCAUCUUUCAUUUGUCGGAGUUAAACGUUAUAUGUUUAUUCCCUCUGCUCGACAAAAUUCUCGAUAUCUCUAGCAACCUGUCACUGGGUUCCUUGGCAGUUGCGAAGAUUGCACACUAUAGCUGUCGGAAGUUGGUCGUACUUGGCGGCAUCUGCAGUGUGUACCAACGUUCGGUCCUCAAAGAUCAGCACCAAUAGUGCCGAAGCGGCGGACUCUGAGUGAACGGUGGCAUAUUUUGAGCUGAAGGCGGAGUUAACUCCUGAUGCACGAUCCACGAGCAGUGAAAGCAGUAAAACUGUAAAGGCUCUAGCCUGCCAUUGACGUCUUAAUUUGAGGAUAGGUGAGCUUCUUUGAUGGAAGCCUAUAAUAGGUACUAACUGCAGUGUUUUUUGCAGUCACCAAAUCUUGGCCAAAAUAUCUUCUCUCUGGCUGCGACGUGUUUUGUCUGUGUUGAGUAUAUAGUCUACCAUAAACACUUCAAGAUGUACCUUCGUUAACGUGGUCUGUUGUGUCGUGCUGGGGUGGUUCAUACCUCUCCGGUGUUCAUGACACAGUGGCGAGAAGUAGCGACGUGAAGCAUUAAAAGUACACCUGGGACUCUGGUCUGCAGGUUUAGUUUCCUAGGCCCUCCACCGUGGAGAUAAUUCCUGAUAGCUUGGUUACCCUUAUACUAUAUAAUCUUACGCUGCUUGUAACAGAUGAGCCGAUCAUCGCACGUCUCCUGUCCAGUUUUGUACACCUCGUUCACAGGAAACUAGGUCUUUGAAUUACGUAUUAAAGACACAGCUCCUCAAAGACACGUGUAAAGUGGAUUUUCCAUGCGUCAUUUUGUUGCAGCACAGUAAUUCAAUAAUAACGUGAGCUGUCGUGAAUAAAGUAUUCUAUGAAUCGUGUAGGUUCUCUGACUCCAGAAAACACUAAAUUUUAAUUUGAGAAGUGUAGCGUUGCUUACAUCAAACCUUUUCUUCCUAAUUCGUCCUCUAUAUUGUGACGUCAGUGUCGAUAAUUGAACGGCCAGCUUUGACCUAUAUGUUGCUCAUUGCGAAGGUCUGAGCAUGCGCUCUCCUCAGGCCUUCUGAGGAGGUCCUUCAGUGAAGAGUAGCGGCUGCAAUCCCUGUAAGUCUCACAACGGUCGGGACAGCCGUGUGCUGAACCCAUGUCCCCCCGUACCACACUGAAAUGACGUAACCUGGCAUGGAUGACGCAGCAGCGUGCCUCUUCGCGUAGUCUCCUAUGCCAGAUCGUACAGUUACCUUUUUGUGCAAUGUCAGCGCAAAUUGAACGCGACCCUCGUAAUCAAUCAACUUUGCCUGCUUUGGUGCCGUAGAAUGAGCUAUUUCAUUGAAUACGUGUUAAACCGGCUACCAGUGCCUUUCCUUAUCGCUGGUCUUUGCAUGUUAAACACGUGGACAUAGUUCUUUCACAUUACCGCCUUUAUCAGAAAUGGUAGGGCAACGUUUUUGUUGACUUCUUUCUAGAAUUUCAUGCGUCAUUACGAAAGCUAGUGAAGUGUAAGCUGAGAGUUUCAGGGUAGGUUAUCUCGUAUGUCUCCCGAAGCAGAAAAUAUGGUAGCGUUAAGCAAAACUGUAGUGGCCACGAAAUUGUCAUCUUCUUCGAAAAUCACCAGCAAACUCUUAUACACUAACGGCAGGAUGCUGUUGCCGACCCACAUAACGAACGAUCGCCAAUACUCCGAAGAGCGUUCCUUAAAUAGCACGGCAUAUAGAAACUCACGAGACGUCAAUGAGUCAGCUUCUGGUAAUGUUUCACCUCACGGCCUCGGCUUGUGAUAGCGUAUAAUGAUGUAUCGCUUUGUCACUUGUGUUCAUUCAUCGUUAAUUGUGGAAAUAUGUUGCGUAGUUUCUUGAAGUAAUACUUUUUUUUUAUAACGGAGCCUGCCUCUGCUUGCUAAGGUCCUUUGUCCUGAACGAGUUUAAAUUGCUUCUUUCUGUAAAAGAACUGAGUCCUAUGAGAAUUUCUUCAACUAAAGACUUCAUAGUCACUUCUUUCUCUAUGAUCAGCGAUAGUACCUUUCUUCUUCGGACGAUAUAGAAAACUGAAGCCCGUCGGCCCAGAAGAAACAACUCCAUUUUGUACGACACUUUACACGGGUAAAGGCUUAAAUCUAUUCAUAUCUAUUUAUCUGAUACAGUGCAAUGGCUCCUGUACUGACAAGUGAUGUGCUUCGCAACUGGAAGCAGCAUGUCAAAGGUAAGUCGUAAUUCUGUACUUGUUGAUGAAUUGGAUCCUUGAUAAUUGAACUGAACUUUUCGAAUCAGUUGUACUGAAUUUAAAUUUGUCGCUGAUAAACAUUCUAUGUUUAUCCUCUCUUCUCGACAGCAAUAUUUCUCUCUAGCAACUUGUCGCUGGGUUCCUUGUCAGUUGCGAAGAUUUGCUUCCUCUUUGUAAUAAAGUCUUAAAUAUCGUAAUGCAGCCUGGGUAUUACGUGUGAGAUACGGAUGCCAAUAUUAGGGCUGACACUAAACAGACGUUCCCAACUAUGUGAUUUUGUUGUAAGUUCGUACUGACGUACAGUGGAAGCAUUGAAAUAACUUAUCUGUUACGACUAAGUAUUUACAAGUACAUCUUGUUGCCUCCGUUUGCACACGUUCCAGAUACGUUAGGGGAUUGCAGAACGAUAGAAAUCUCUUCUCUUCAACUCGCAGUAGAAUCUAACACCCACUGUCCUCGAUUACUUGUUGCGCAUAUUCUGAUGAUUCCUCCUAUAUUUCGGCACUCUUCGCCUCCCUCUGGUGCUUAGCAAGUUAGUUCUACCUUAACAUAUGUCUGUCUACCUGUCCCGUCUUGUGCACGGGGUUUUCUACAGUAAUAUUCCUUUCCUCGCCAACUCUGUAGAUAACCUCCAUGUUUCUUCUCUUACCAAUUCCCUUAAGUUUCAACCUGCAUCUAGAACAUUACAUUUUAAACUCUUCGAUUAUCUUCUUUUCGGGUUCUCGCAAAGUGUAUGAUUACUUGCAUUCAGUGUUGUCCUCUCGAUGUACAUUCUCAAAAAUUAAUUAAGGAUAUCUGCUUCUGUAUCGGCUUAAUCAGGAUGUAAAGAUACACUACAGAUGUUAGGUGUACGAAAAGAGUUAAUUAUACGAUACGGAAGGGCAGCUUUCACGUAAGAGGUUUAGACUGCCAUGGUAUAUUUGCUCACUUAAGACUAUGAACAGAAGCCUCUGAAAGCGUUAUCUUGUAGUGCGGCUAGAACUGUUUUGACAAGUGAAGCGUAUAAUUGAAUCAUCAAGCAAUAUCACAACCAUAGCAUGACCACAGUUACAGACACACCCACGGAGCACAAGCCACAGACCUGAAAAGAUAGCUAGAAAGGAUUUACCUUCCCUGUCUACGUAAUGGUCUCCGCAUUCUUCGGCAAGAAAAUGCCAGUUUUGGGGAAAAGAAAAGCUCUGGGUGGAAACCAAAGACUGCUGUUAACGUAACCUUUCGACGAAAAGUGUGUCCCUUUUCCUCAUUAAGUAUAAAGGAUGAAUUUCUUCGCCGCAGCCAUUUACAUGAAGAACACGUCUAUAUCGCUCCAGUGAAUAAAAAAGCUGUUCACUUUGCUGUGACUACCAAUGUUUUAAAUGUACAAACUUCAUUAUUCAACAACAGAAGAUGAUAAAUAUUGAGGGUUUUUAAAGACACAGACAGGCAAUCAACACAGAGGGAGCCAACACAUCACUCCAGAAGAAGAUAAACAAUGAAGAUUCUGAACGCUACAGGCAGUGGAAACAGCGCGAAGGGUGCUCGCUGCUGAGGACUCCGAGACAUCGACGGACGGUGGACGAUUCGUCGCGAUCACCUUAGAAUUAAGUAUGUUGUGUUUGAUUGUAAUUAUGGUCUUCACACUCCGGACUCCGCUCUACGAUCUACUGGCGAACAAAACGCUCGUAUGGAGAUUCUCAGUGCAACUGAGUGUCUUUGGUUACAUGAAUGGGCGGACUUUCACUACCGGUUAAGAAGGAUGAGGGGCAGCCAUCCACGUAAUUCUGCAAAUGGUUGCUGCAGUACCGGUGGCGUGCAGUAUGCAACAUAGCGCCCUCUGCAGUCAACUAGUUCGCUACAUGCUGCAACACAGUGCAGCGUUUCCUCCUGGCGACACCAUGCCGGAGUGAGCAACAUUCCUACAACGCCGUGAAUUCGAGCGGUAGAGUCCUCGCGACGGACAUCGGUCGAAUGUGCAGCUACGUCACUGCUGAUUCAACGAGCUGCGUCAGCAGCCAAGCAGCCGCUGAUCUACGAGCCGUCAGCCAGACCUGGUGCAAUCGAACUUCGAACUGGGUCCGCCAAGGCGAGGCCACACGCUGGUUGCCACUCCUUGCACCCCAGCCACUCUCCGAUGCUCCCGCGUUCAGGCGGGGCGCCAGCAGUUCCUGCCAGCCUCCGAGGGCCAUGUGGAGUUCGCACUAGCCCUGCCACCAACUGAGCUACUGAGGUGAAACAUGGUAUCCGUCACCAAGGGCGCCGUCGACCCAGCCGCUAUAACGCUGUCAACAGCAUUCCUCUGACUCAGCGUACGUCACUCGCUGCCCGCUAGCUACAGUCGGAGUAAACAUUCCCGACUCCAAGCUCGCCACGUUACUGCAGAUCCCAUCACACAGCUUCCCGUACAAGCCACUCUGGCCAUUCGGCAACACUGCUACUUCGCGUGUUCUCUAACAGUGUAUUCGUAGGUAGAGCCCAAACGUUUACGUAAUCCAAACAAACAAAUAAUGUACACAUUUAUGAUAUGAAAAUGAGUGAAAUUUGUAAGAAAAAUGUAAUACGAUGAAAAUGUUUUAUGAAAUAUUUAACAUAAAAGUUAUUUUUGUUGAAAUAAAAUUCUGAAAUACA